rnacentral:misc_RNA from 1 species
GAUGAAGAACGUAGCGAAAUGCGAUAAGUAAUGUGAAUUGCAGAAUUCAGUGAAUCAUCGAAUCUUUGAACGCACAUUGCGCCCUCUGGUAUUCGGGGGGGCAUGCCUGUUCGAGCGUCAUUAUAACCACUCAAGCUCUCGCUUGGUAUUGGGGCUCGCGGUUCCGCGGCCCCUAAAAUCAGUGGCGGUGCCUGUCGGCUCUACGCGUAGUAAUACUCCUCGCGAUUGAGUCCGGUAGGUCUACUUGCCAGCAACCCCCAAUUUUUACAGGUUGACCUCGGAUCAGGUAGGGAUACCCGCUGAACUUAAGCAUAUCAAUAAGCGGAGGA